GCGGGGGUAGCCCAGCCAGGUCAAAGGCGUAGGACUUAGGAUCCUAUCUCGAAGGAGUUCGUGCGUUCGAAUCGCACCCCCCGCA
rnacentral:tRNA from 2 species